AACGCACAUUGCGCCCGCCAGUAUUCUGGCGGGCAUGCCUGUUCGAGCGUCAUUUCAACCAUCAAGCCCCAGGCUUGUGUUGGGGGCCUGCAGCUGCUGCAGCCCCCUAAAAGCAGUGGCGGACUCGCUGUCAUUCCGAGCGCAGUAGUUACAUCUCGCUCUGGACGUGGCGGCGGGCACCUGCCGUAAAACACUCUUUCUAAGGUUGACCUCGGAUCAGGUAGGAAUACCCGCUGAACUUAA
rnacentral:misc_RNA from 1 species